rnacentral:lncRNA from 13 species
AGAGCAACGGGACGGGUCCCCAUCCUUUGCCAAUCAGCGUUCGUUUCCUUCCUGCUCAUCGCGAGAGCUUUUGUACUGUGUUUGAUUGAAGAGUUGCAGUGACCUCAUCCCUCCAGCAGCUGCUGCGACGAGGACCUCUUUUCCUGCAACUUUUUGUAUGAACUUCGAAGUUGAACAAUCGCAAAAGGAAGCAGACACUUGGAGUAAGCGGGAACAUCGCAUCAUCCUGAGAGACGGACACACACAGGGCAGGAGAAUGUACCAGACACUGACGCCUCUUCCAACUCCUGUCAAGCCAACUCCUGUCAAGCCAACUCCUGUCAAGCCAACUCCUGUCAAGCCAACUCCUGUCAAGCCAACUCCUGUCAAGCCAACUCCUGUCAAGCCAACUCCUCUUUUUGUUAAUUACACAAUCAAAAGUCUCUCCCCCUCUGUUUCUCUCUCUCUCCCUCUGUUUCUGUCAUUCUCUCUUUUUCUCUCUCUCAUUGUCUCUCUCUCUCUCGCUCAGCUAUUUCUGUCCCCUCAAUGCCGUGCCACCUCACACAGCGUUGCCGACGUGUUGCUAGGGCCCACGGUGGGAGAGCGAGGAGGAAGUGUUUAUUUGAGAGGGAGGGGGAGACCAAAACCCAGUUCCACAGCAAACUGA